GGCAAAGUAAAUCUGAGUAGAGUAAUCAUACCUUACUUAGGCCCACCUCCUUGGGUCGAAUUUGAAGUGCUCACCUUUUGGAGGCGUGCAAAGGUUUCCUCAGGCCAAACAGAGAUUGUCCUUCGAGGGCAAAGGCAGAAGGGAGCUUGACUACAAGACCCACCUCUCGAGAAGAGACGAAAGUCAACCUUAGUGAUCCAAUGGUGCAGGGUGGAAGAACCGUCGCUCAACGGAUAAAAGUUACUCUAGGGAUAACAGGUUGAUCUUCCCCGAGAGUUCACAUUGACGAGAAGGUUUGGCACCUCUAUGUUGACUCUUCGCCACUUGGGGCGGUAGUAUGUUCCAAGGGUUAGGUUGUUUGCGUAUUAAAGCCAUACGUGAGCUGGAUUCAGAACGUCGUGAGACAGUUCCGUCCAUAUC
rfam:Morus notabilis contig10705, whole genome shotgun sequence.